GAUGAACGCUGGCGGCGUGCCUAAUACAUGCAAGUCGAGCGAACGGACGAGAAGCUUGCUUCUCUGAUGUUAGCGGCGGACGGGUGAGUAACACGUGGAUAACCUACCUAUAAGACUGGGAUAACUUCGGGAAACCGUAGCUAAUACCGGAUAAUAUUUUGAACCGCAUGGUUCAAAAGUGAAAGACGGUCUUGCUGUCACUUAUAGAUGGAUCCGCGCUGCAUUAGCUAGUUGGUAAGGUAACGGCUUACCAAGGCAACGAUGCAUAGCCGACCUGAGAGGGGGAUCGGCCCCACUGGAAAUGGGACACGGCCCAGACCCCGACGGGGGGCAGCAGUAGGGAAUUUUCCGCAAUGGGCGAAAGCCUGACGGAGCAACGCCGGGUGAGUGAAGAAGGUCUUCGGAUCGUAAAACUUUUUUAUUAGGGAAGAACAUAUGUGUAAGUAACUGGCCAAAUUUUGACGGUACCUAAUCAAAAAGCCACGGCUAACUACGU
rnacentral:rRNA from 1 species